AUUGAACGCUGGCGGCAUGCCUUACACAUGCAAGUCGAACGGUAACAGGUCUUCGGAUGCUGACGAGUGGCGAACGGGUGAGUAAUACAUCGGAACGUGCCUAGUAGUGGGGGAUAACUACUCGAAAGAGUGGCUAAUACCGCAUGAGAUCUACGGAUGAAAGCAGGGGAUCGCAAGACCUUGUGCUACUAGAGCGGCCGAUGGCAGAUUAGGGAGUUGGUGGGAUAAAAGCUUACCAAGCCGACGAUCUGUAGCUGGUCUGAGAGGACGAUCAGCCACACUGGGACUGAGACACGGCCCAGACUCCUACGGGAGGCAGCAGUGGGGAAUUUUGGACAAUGGGCGCAAGCCUGAUCCAGCAAUGCCGCGUGCAGGAUGAAGGCUUUCGGGUUGUAAACUGCUUUUGUACGGAACGAAAAGCCCUGGGUUAAUACCCUGGGGUCAUGACGGUACCGUAAGAAUAAGCACCGGCUAACUACGUGCCAGCAGCCGCCGUAACAC
rnacentral:rRNA from 1 species